AUGGCAAGAGGCAAUCACACCACCGUGACAGAGUUUGUCCUCAUGGGAUUCACAGAUCGCCCUGAACUUCAGCUCCCCCUCUUUGUGGUAUUCCUGGUGAUUUAUCUCAUCACCCUGGUGGGAAACCUUGGCAUGAUCCUGCUCAUCAAGGCAGACUCACGGCUUCACACACCCAUGUACUAUUUUCUCAGUCACCUGGCUUUCAUAGAUCUCUGUUAUUCAUCUUCCAUUGGGCCCAAAAUGCUGCAAAAUUUCUUGGUGAAGGAAAAAACCAUCUCCUUUUCAGGCUGUUUUGCUUAGCUGUACUUUUCCAGUGCUUUUUCCACUACUGAAUGCUUCCUCUUGGCUACCAUGGCCUAUGACCGUUACAUGGCCAUCUGCAACCCCCUGAUCUACACAGCCAUCAUGACACAGCGGGUUUGUAAGGAGUUGGUGGUAGGAGUCUACACCUAUGGCUUCCUGAACUCUGUGAUACAGACAGUACUGACUUUCCAGCUGUCUUUCUGCAACUCCAAUGUGAUCCACCACUUCUACUGUGCUGACCCCCCUCUCCUCACACUCUCCUGCUCUGACACCCACAACAAAGAGAGGCAGCUCCUGAUCUUCUCAGCAGUGAAUCUCACUGGAUCCCUCAUGACUGUCCUCGUCUCCUACAUCUGCAUCCUGGUCUCUAUUAUAAAAAUUCAGUCUUCCCAGGGCAAGUGUAAAGCAUUCUCCACCUGUGCCUCUCACCUCACCGUGGUCACCAUCUUCUAUAGAACAUUUAUUUUUCAUGUACUUGCAGCAACCAAAAACAGGAAAUUCAUGGAGGUAUAGCAAUGUGAUCUCUGUGUUUUAUAGUCUUGUAAUUCCUAUGCUUAACCCUCU